UUUUUUUUUUUUUUUUCCAGUAAGGAACUAAGGGAGUACUCCCUUACUUUCCCAUGACCUGGUGUCAUGAUCUUUGAUGUUCUGCCCACUUUUACUGAUUUGCCUUUAAAAUAUAGUGCAAUUUCAUAUGCCAAGACAUCUUGUUUAUUCUUUCUAAAAUCCUUUAGAAAGGGAUUUCUAAAGUCUUUCCUUGAACUACUUACUCUGUAAACAUAUGGAUACUGCUCCUUUUCCUUUGUCUUUUUAGUUUUAAUUUGCAGAGUUCAUUUUUUAAAUCAGCUUAUGUUAGUUUUCUUCUUUCUAUUCCCAUUGCUACUACCUACUCACCUUGGGUUACCAAGUGGGUUUUUGGCUGACCCCUCAUCCUCUAGACCUAAAUUCAUAUGCCAAUUGCAUCCCACACCACAACCAGGCAAAUUACUUUAAUCCAAGAGCACCAGUUUUCUUUAGCUUUUCCUCUGCUCCACAUCUCUAAACGGUUCUCACUGACUCUCGGAUCCAUUCCACAGUUUUCCUGUCAUUCCAGAUCUGCUGAAUUACUUUGCUCUUCUUCUUGUCAAACUUUACCUUCUAUUGGUUUCUGAGGAAGCCUUUUCAGGCAGGCCAUGCUAGACUCCUCACUGCCUAGGACGAUCCUUUCCAACAGCUGACCUGCCACAAAUACCCAUCUUUCUCAAUCGUUGUAGCUCUAUUAUCUUUCUCCCUUCAAUUCUUUGGGCUUCAUUCAUCCCUCUCUUCUCUCUGCUUCCGUGGCAUAAGCAGCUUAGUCUCUACUUUGGUAUGCAUAAUACCAAUCCUACUUGUUAUGGUUAUGUAUAUUAACUGCUUAAUAUGGUAGAUGACUCACCACCCAAAUUAAAAAAUAUCUGGUUUUCCAAUUUUAUUAAGACAACAGACUGCUCUGCAUACGUAAUCAAAAGUCAUCAAUAAAUAUAGAAAUGAAUUCACUGUGUGCCCUUCUCAGGAUAUGCAUUUCUAGGAAUACAGAGCAGGUAGAAAGAGUGGCUGGUGGUAUGGAAUGUGGGUAAUAAAUUGUAUUAACCAUGUGCUUGCACAGGCUUCCUUUCAAGUCCCAAAUACAUGAGGUGAGGCCUUAUCCUGGCUAACACGGUGAAACCCCGUCUCUACUGAAAAAUUAGCUGGGCGUGGUGGCUGCGCCUGUAGUCCCAGCUACUCGGUAGGCUGAGGCAGGAGAAUGGCGCGAACCCGGGAGGCGGAGCUUGCAGUGAGCGGAGAUGGCGCCACUGCACUCCAGCCUGGGAGAGAGAGCGAGAUUCAGUCUCGAAAAAAAAAAAAAAAAAAAAAAAA
rnacentral:lncRNA from 1 species